GAUGAACGCUAGCGGCAGGCUUAAUACAUGCAAGUCGAGGGGCAGCACGGUUAGCAAUAACUGGUGGCGACCGGCGCACGGGUGCGUAACACGUAUACAAUCUACCUUAAACAGGGGGAUAGCCUUUUCGAAAAGAGAGAUUAAUACCCCGUAAUAAAUUGAACGGCAUCGUUUGAUUUUGAAAGCUCCGGCGGUUUGAGAUGAGUAUGCGUCUGAUUAGCUAGUUGGUGAGGUAACGGCUCACCAAGGCGACGAUCAGUAGGGGAUCUGAGAGGACUAACCCCCACACUGGUACUGAGACAGGACCAGACUCCUACGGGAGGCAGCAG
rnacentral:rRNA from 1 species